rnacentral:rRNA from 1 species
GAUUACGGCCAUACCACACUGACAACUGCCCGAUUUCGUCUGAUCUCGGAAGCUAAGCAGAGUUGAGCUGGGUCAGUACUUGAAUAAGUAACCGCCUGGGAAUACCCGGUGCUGUAAGCA